rnacentral:rRNA from 1 species
UUCCGGUUGAUCCCGCCGGACCUGACUGCUAUCGGAUUGAUACUAAGCCAUGCGAGUCAUUGUAGCAAUACAAGGCAGACGGCUCAGUAACGCGUAGUCAAUCUACCCUAUGGACGGGAAUAACCUCGGGAAACUGAGAAUAAUACCCGACAGAACAUUAUACCUGGAACGGUUUAUGUUUCAAAUGAUUUAUCGCCGUAGGAUGGGACUGCGGCCUAUCAGUUUGUUGGUGAGGUAAUGGCCCACCAAGACUAUUACAGGUACGGGCUCUGAGAGGAGUAGCCCGGAGAUGGGUACUGAGACACGGACCCAGGCCCUAUGGGGCGCAGCAGGCGAGAAAACUUUGCAAUGUGCGAAAGCACGACAAGGUUAAUCCGAGUGGUUUCUGCUAAAGAAACCUUUUGUUAGUCCUAGAAACACUAGUGAAUAAGGGGUGGGCAAGUUCUGGUGUCAGCCGCCGCGGUAAAACCAGCACCUCAAGUGGUCAGGAUGAUUAUUGGGCCUAAAGCAUCCGUAGCUCGUUUUGUAAGUUUUCGGUUAAAUCCAUACGCUUAACGUAUGGGCUGCCGGGAAUACUGCAUAACUAGGAAGUGGGAGAGGUAGACGGUACUCGGUAGGAAGGGGUAAAAUCCUUUGAUCUAUUGAUGACCACCUGUGGCGAAGGCGGUCUACCAGAACACGUUCGACGGUGAGGGAUGAAAGCUGGGGGAGCAACCCGGAUUAGAUACCCGGGUAGUCCCAGCUGUAAACUAUGCAAACUCAGUGAUGCAUUGGCUUGUGGCCAAUGCAGUGCUGCAGGGAAGCCGUUAAGUUUGCCGCCUGGGAAGUACGUACGCAAGUAUGAAACUUAAAGGAAUUGGCGGGGGAGCACCACAAGGGGUGAAGCCUGCGGUUCAAUUGGAUUCAACGCCGGG